UAACUCCAGCCUGUGUCAAGUUGACACAAAACUAGCUGGUACACCCAGGGAGCUGUCUUUCCAGCUCCAAAACAAAGUAUUGUUCAAGCAACAAUUAGAAAUUUCAUUAUUUCAUGUAUUGAUCAGUGGUUGUUUUAAUGGUACCCAAUAACAGUUUCUUUAAAUUUCUGUGGCCACAACAUUGUGUGUGUGUUUUGUGUUUAUGUGUUCAUGUAAUUAUGUGUGUGUAGAUGCAUAUGUGUGCUUGUGCAUAUGAUGGCCAGACAUUAACAUCAAAUAUCUUCUCAAUGACACAUUUCUUUCUGUUCGGAGACAGAGUGCCCCCCUGAAGUCAACGUUUAUAUUUUCAGUUAGAUUCACUGGCCAAGGAAGAACAGGCCAUGUCACUAUCACCACCACCUUGCCAGCACUGGGUUUAUAGACACACACCAUUUCAGCAGGCUUUUGCAUGGGUACUGAAGAGCUGAACUCAAGUCUCCAUGAUUGCUCUAGAGACAUUUCUGGAACUGGGCCACAUCCCCUGCUCCCUCACAAGAGAGGAAUUGAUUUCACUCUAUGGUGUCGAUUAAGGCACUCUCAGACUCAGGGCCACUGUUGCUCUUCGAUCCAUGAAGACAUCUGCUCUCAUUUUUUCCUUUGGGGAGCAAUGCUUCAGAACACAACCUUCUCGUGGAAGAAGUCAAACUCAGGGGCAAUGAAGACAAGGAACACCCAGAUCCCACUGCAGCCCUGGUUCCUGAGGAAAAUCAUGGCAUGCUCUCCACAUCUCAGGAGAAAACAGCAAGAGACACUUAGCCAAGGCCAACAAGAGAAAAGAAAAUAUGUUUUGACCUCAACAAAAAGAACACGGUAGAAGGCAGAUGUGAGCAAGAGGUCAAUUCUAACAUUUUCCAUGUGGUUGCCAGAGAAGGUUCCCAUAAAUUAAGGAAAAGUGUUAACUUUGGAAACUUAAGUUUGAGAAAAGAAGAAGAGGAGGAGGAGGAGGAACCCCACAUAGAACACUCAGAGGGCAAAGGCAUCUCUGAUGUCAUGUGUGUCCCCCAACAACUGGAGCAAGGGCUAUC